ACAAGACCUACGCCAUCAUGGACGUCACCUUCCACAAAGAAGGAGCGGCCCAGAGGGCCCUGAAGCUUUACAGCCGCACCCUGGAAAUCAAGGAGGACAUCAUGAAGAGGUUCUAUGAGGUGGCCAGGGAGUCCGGGCUCUCGGAAAAGGACGUACACCUUCUCACGUGGGACACGGCCUGCGUGAGUUUGCUGCACAGGGGAGAUGCGCCGAGCUCCUGAAGGAGGAGCUGAUCUAGAGGAGCCCUGGGCCAGGCCGGGAUGCUCCGAGCCCCGUCCCUCUGGCCUGUCCUGGCCCCGGGGGGCUGCUGGCCCUUGCUCUGAAU